GAUGAAGAACGUAGCGAAAUGCGAUAAGUAAUGUGAAUUGCAGAAUUCAGUGAAUCAUCGAAUCUUUGAACGCACAUUGCGCCCGCUAGUAUUCUGGCGGGCAUGCCUGUCCGAGCGUCAUUUCAACCCUCAAGCCCCCGGGCUUGGUGUUGGGGAUCGGCGAGCCUCCGCGCCCGCCGUCCCCUAAAUCUAGUGGCGGUCUCGCUGUAGCUUCCUCUGCGUAGUAGCACACCUCGCACUGGGAAACAGCGCGGCCACGCCGUUAAACCCCCAACUUCUGAACGUUUGACCUCGGAUCAGGUAGGAAUACCCGCUGAACUUAAGCAUAUCAAUAAGCGUAGGA
rnacentral:misc_RNA from 1 species